UUUUAAGUUGGAAGUAUUUGUAAUGUUGUAAAGGAAGAGUGACAUUGGAGGGGCAUAUGAUUUGGAGAAAGUGAGGUACUGACUGGACAGUGUUAGGAACUAAAGAUGUGGAGGGUUGGUGAUAUCGGAAUGUGAUACCGUGAGCAUGUAGAGCACGUGGUGGUGUGAGGGAGGUUGAGGUCUUAUGAUCCAGGAAGGGCCAAUAUAUAUCUCAGGUAAUCCACUGGGUCCUUACUCUGCAGGUAACUUCUUCUUAAAAUGAGAUAUUGAUGAGGUCCCUGGAGAGGUAUAGAAUUCAUGCUGAGAAUAGUGUGGAACUGUGACAGAGGAGUGAUGAGAAGGCAAGAGACUGAAUAUGAGAAGGCCCUGACUGGCCUGCUUGGCAUUACCAUACCCUGAACACCCAAGCCUAAGGGGACAUUUACUGAAGACCUCCUUCUUUUGUUGGAGGUUACUCUCUAUAGCUCUUUUCCUUAGUAUUGA
rnacentral:lncRNA from 1 species